GACAGCCAGGAUGUUGGCUUAGAAGCAGCCAUCAUUUAAAGAAAGCGUAAUAGCUCACUGGUCGAGUCGGCCUGCGCGGAAGAUGUAACGGGGCUAAACCAUGCACCGAAGCUGCGGCAGCGACGCUGAUGCGUUGUUGGGUAGGGGAGCGUUCUGUAAGCCUGUGAAGGUGUGCUGUGAGGCAUGCUGGAGGUAUCAGAAGUGCGAAUGCUGACAUAAGUAACGAUAAAGCGGGUGAAAAGCCCGCUCGCCGGAAGAC
rnacentral:rRNA from 1 species